rnacentral:rRNA from 1 species
CUGCUGCCUUCCGUAGGAGUUUGGGCCGUGUCUCAGUCCCAAUGUGGCCGGUCACCCUCUCAGGUCGGCUACUGAUCGUCGCCUUGGUAGGCCGUUACCCCACCAACCAGCUAAUCAGACGCGGGUCCAUCUCAUACCACCGGAGUUUUUACCACCGGGCCAUGCGGCCCUGUGGUCUUAUGCGGUAUUAGCAGUCAUUUCUAACUGUUAUCCCCCUGUAUGAGGCAGGUUACCCACGCGUUACCUCACCCGUCCGCCGCUCAGU